AGAGUUUGAUCCUGGCUCAGGAUGAACGCUGGCGGCGUGCCUAAUACAUGCAAGUCGAGCGAACGGACGAGAAGCUUGCUUCUCUGAUGUUAGCGGCGGACGGGUGAGNAUAAAAUGUAUAAUUAAUUCUUGUCGGUAAGAAAAAUGAACAUUGAAAACUGAAUGACAAUAUGUCAACGUUAAUUCCAAAAAACGUAACUAUAAGUUACAAACAUUAUUUAGUAUUUAUGAGCUAAUCAAACAUCAUAAUUUUUAUGGAGAGUUUGAUCCUGGCUCAGGAUGAACGCUGGCGGCGUGCCUAAUACAUGCAAGUCGAGCGAACGGACGAGAAGCUUGCUUCUCUGAUGUUAGCGGCGGACGGGUGAGUAACACGUGGAUAACCUACCUAUAAGACUGGGAUAACUUCGGGAAACCGGAGCUAAUACCGGAUAAUAUUUUGAACCGCAUGGUUCAAAAGUGAAAGACGGUCUUGCUGUCACUUAUAGAUGGAUCCGCGCUGCAUUAGCUAGUUGGUAAGGUAACGGCUUACCAAGGCAACGAUGCAUAGCCGACCUGAGAGGGUGAUCGGCCACACUGGAACUGAGACACGGUCCAGACUCCUACGGGAGGCAGCAGUAGGGAAUCUUCCGCAAUGGGCGAAAGCCUGACGGAGCAACGCCGCGUGAGUGAUGAAGGUCUUCGGAUCGUAAAACUCUGUUAUUAGGGAAGAACAUAUGUGUAAGUAACUGUGCACAUCUUGACGGUACCUAAUCAGAAAGCCACGGCUAACUACGUGCCAGCAGCCGCGGUAAUACGUAGGUGGCAAGCGUUAUCCGGAAUUAUUGGGCGUAAAGCGCGCGUAGGCGGUUUUUUAAGUCUGAUGUGAAAGCCCACGGCUCAACCGUGGAGGGUCAUUGGAAACUGGAAAACUUGAGUGCAGAAGAGGAAAGUGGAAUUCCAUGUGUAGCGGUGAAAUGCGCAGAGAUAUGGAGGAACACCAGUGGCGAAGGCGACUUUCUGGUCUGUAACUGACGCUGAUGUGCGAAAGCGUGGGGAUCAAACAGGAUUAGAUACCCUGGUAGUCCACGCCGUAAACGAUGAGUGCUAAGUGUUAGGGGGUUUCCGCCCCUUAGUGCUGCAGCUAACGCAUUAAGCACUCCGCCUGGGGAGUACGACCGCAAGGUUGAAACUCAAAGGAAUUGACGGGGACCCGCACAAGCGGUGGAGCAUGUGGUUUAAUUCGAAGCAACGCGAAGAACCUUACCAAAUCUUGACAUCCUUUGACAACUCUAGAGAUAGAGCCUUCCCCUUCGGGGGACAAAGUGACAGGUGGUGCAUGGUUGUCGUCAGCUCGUGUCGUGAGAUGUUGGGUUAAGUCCCGCAACGAGCGCAACCCUUAAGCUUAGUUGCCAUCAUUAAGUUGGGCACUCUAAGUUGACUGCCGGUGACAAACCGGAGGAAGGUGGGGAUGACGUCAAAUCAUCAUGCCCCUUAUGAUUUGGGCUACACACGUGCUACAAUGGACAAUACAAAGGGCAGCGAAACCGCGAGGUCAAGCAAAUCCCAUAAAGUUGUUCUCAGUUCGGAUUGUAGUCUGCAACUCGACUACAUGAAGCUGGAAUCGCUAGUAAUCGUAGAUCAGCAUGCUACGGUGAAUACGUUCCCGGGUCUUGUACACACCGCCCGUCACACCACGAGAGUUUGUAACACCCGAAGCCGGUGGAGUAACCUUUUAGGAGCUAGCCGUCGAAGGUGGGACAAAUGAUUGGGGUGAAGUCGUAACAAGGUAGCCGUAUCGGAAGGUGCGGCUGGAUCACCU
rnacentral:rRNA from 1 species